UACGUAGGGGGCUAGCGUUGUCCGGAAUUAUUGGGCGUAAAGAGCUCGUAGGCGGCUUGUUGCGUCGGCUGUGAAAUCCCGGGGCUUAACUCCGGGCGUGCAGCCGAUACGGGCAGGCUAGAGUCCGGUAGGGGAGACUGGAAUUCCUGGUGUAGCGGUGAAAUGCGCAGAUAUCAGGAGGAACACCGGUGGCGAAGGCGGGUCUCUGGGCCGGUACUGACGCUAAGGAGCGAAAGCGUGGGGAGCGAACAGG
rnacentral:rRNA from 1 species